CGGUUGGGAUUUGUGUAGGAGAGAUAAAAUGGAUAUGUGUAUCAAUCCCACCUGCUGUAAGUAUUUGUCCUUCGCCGGCUAUAACCUCUGUUGCUGCACCUACAACCAUUGUUUGGAAUACAUUAUCUUGAAUAUCAGGAUUCCCAGCCUUACCAAUGCCUAUAAUUUUUCCAUUUUUGAUACCAAUAUCCGCCUUAUAAAUCCCUGUAUAAUCAAUAAUCAUUGCAUUGGUAAUAACCACAUCAAGCACAUUUUCAUACAUACUUGCACUUUGAGCCAUACCAUCACGGAUAG
rfam:Helicobacter apodemus strain MIT-03-7007 CONTIG_283, whole genome shotgun sequence.